AUUGAACGCUGGCGGCAGGCUUAACACAUGCAAGUCGAGCGGAGUGAUGGUGCUUGCACUAUCACUUAGCGGCGGACGGGUGAGUAAUGCUUAGGAAUCUGCCUAUUAGUGGGGGACAACAUCUCGAAAGGGAUGCUAAUACCUCAUACGUCCUACGGGAGAAAGCAGGGGAUCACUUGUGACCUUGCGCUAAUAGAUGAGCCUAAGUCGGAUUAGCUAGUUGGUGGGGUAAAGGCCUACCAAGGCGACGAUCUGUAGCGGGUCUGAGAGGAUGAUCCGCCACACUGGGACUGAGACACGGCCCAGACUCCUACGGGAGGCAGCAGUGGGGAAUAUUGGACAAUGGGGGGAACCCUGAUCCAGCCAUGCCGCGUGUGUGAAGAAGGCCUUAUGGUUGUAAAGCACUUUAAGCGAGGAGGAGGCUCUUUUGGUUAAUACCCAAGAUGAGUGGACGUUACUCGCAGAAUAAGCACCGGCUAACUCUGUGCCAGCCGCCGCCGUAAGAC
rnacentral:rRNA from 1 species